UACGUAGGGCGCAAGCGUUGUCCGGAAUUGCUGGGCGUAAAGAGCUCGUAGGUGGUUUGUCGCGUUGUUCGUGAAAACCGGGGGCUUAACCUUCGGCGUGCGGGCGAUACGGGCAGACUGGAGUACUGCAGGGGAGACUGGAAUUCCUGGUGUAGCGGUGGAAUGCGCAGAUAUCAGGAGGAACACCGGUGGCGAAGGCGGGUCUCUGGGCAGUAACUGACGCUGAGGAGCGAAAGCGUGGGGAGCGAACAGG
rnacentral:rRNA from 1 species